rnacentral:rRNA from 1 species
UACGUAGGUGGCAAGCGUUGUCCGGAUUUACUGGGCGUAAAGAGCGCGCAGGCGGUCGGUCAAGUCGCGUGUGAAAGCCCCCGGCUCAACUGGGGAGGGUCACGCGAUACUGAUCGACUCGAAGGCAGGAGAGGGAAGUGGAAUUCCCGGUGUAGUGGUGAAAUGCGUAGAUAUCGGGAGGAACACCAGUGGCGAAGGCGACUUCCUGGCCUGUUCUUGACGCUGAGGCGCGAAAGCUAGGGGAGCAAACGGG